rfam:Octopus bimaculoides Scaffold13232_contig_24, whole genome shotgun sequence.
GGUCUCAUGAUGUAAUGCUUAGCACUCUGGACUUUGAAUCCAGGGAUCUGAGUUCAAAUCUCGGUGAGACCU